AUAUGGAUUUUUAUACUCAUACAAAAUGUGUUCUUCUCUUAAGUUCUGUUUGUACCCAGAAAGUCAGUCAUCUGAAAGUAUGACUUUCUAGCUGUAGCCUAGGGCACAUGGGCCUCUCUGGACAUUCCUCUUCUGUUUCCAUGGGCCAAAUAGGAGGCCAAGUUCAUUAUUUUUCACACGGGCCUGCUUCACGGACUCCAGACAGACACUGCUUUCGCUAUGUCCAAUUUUCUUUUCUAUCAUGACUCCCUUUUAUACACAGAAGUUGAUUGUGUCAAAUAGGUAAUGAAAGUAAAGACUGGGUCUUUCUGUUGGCUACACAAAAAUAUUCAAAAUAAUCCUAAUAGAAUUAACCACAAAACCAAAGCUCGUUAAGUUUUGAAGUUCCU
rnacentral:lncRNA from 1 species